rnacentral:tRNA from 1 species
GGGGAGAUGCCCGAGCGGCUAAAGGGGGCAGGCUGUAAACCUGUUGCGCGAGCUACGGAGGUUCGAAUCCUCCUCUCCCCA